rnacentral:rRNA from 1 species
GUAGUUAGCCGUGGCUUCCUCCUUAGGUACCGUCAUUAUCGUCCCUAAAGACAGAGCUUUACAAUCCGAAGACCUUCAUCACUCACGCGGCGUUGCUGGGUCAGGCUUGCGCCCAUUGCCCAAUAUUCCCCACUGCUGCCUCCCGCAGGAGUCUGGACCGUAUCUCAGUUCCAGUGUGGCCGAUCAGCCUCUCAGCUCGGCUACCCAUCGUCGACUUGGUGGGCUGUUACUCCGCCAACUAUCUAAUGGGACGCGAACCCCUCUUAUACCGGAUUGCUCCUUUGACCUCAUCCCGAUGCCGGGUCGUGGUCUUAUGCGGUAUUAGCAACCGUUUCCGGUUGUUAUCCCCCUGUACAAGGCAGGUUGUUCACGCGUUACUCACCCGUUUCGCCACUAAGUUAUCAACCGAAAUCAAUAACUCCGUUCGACUUGCAUGUGUUAGGCACGCCGCCAGCGUUCGUCCUGAGCCAGAAUCAAACUCUGA